GACGAACGCUGGCGGUGUGCUUAACACAUGCAAGUCGAACGGAAAGGCCCUGCUUUUGUGGGGUGCUCGAGUGGCGAACGGGUGAGUAACACGUGAGUAACCUGCCCUUGACUUUGGGAUAACUUCAGGAAACUGGGGCUAAUACCGGAUAGGAGCUCCUGUUGCAUGGUGGGGGUUGGAAAGUUUCGGCGGUUGGGGAUGGACUCGCGGCUUAUCAGCUUGUUGGUGGGGUAGUGGCUUACCAAGGCUUUGACGGGUAGCCGGCCUGAGAGGGUGACCGGCCACAUUGGGACUGCGAUACGGCCCAGACUCCUACGGGAGGCAGCAGUGGGGAAUAUUGCACAAUGGGCGGAAGCCUGAUGCAGCAACGCCGCGUGCGGGAUGACGGCCUUCGGGUUGUAAACCGCUUUCGCCUGUGACGAAGCGUGAGUGACGGUAAUGGGUAAAGAAGCACCGGCUAACUACGUG
rnacentral:rRNA from 1 species